rnacentral:lncRNA from 10 species
GACCUGCACCAAGGCCGCCAGCGCGAAGAAGGCGGCCAUGAGUCCGUUGCAGGCCCGCCACAGCGCUGGCGCCAUGGCUCGGAGAACACGGCGCGGGGCGGCCCCUAAGGUAAAAGCCUUGCUCCAAGUCCCCUUCUGACUUCUAGUCACUUCCGUGCUGCCAGCAGAGGGCGUGGGAUUCUUCCUGAGGAGCCUGAGUCUCAGCUUUGCCAGGUCCUUGCUGUGUGACCUUGGGCACCUGUGCUCCCUUGACAAAGAGGAAUAAAACCUCUUCAGACUACUCUCCUAUCGAUUCUCUCCUGGAACAUAUGACCACCAUCAAUUAUAGGCAAGAACAUGAACACGGGAGUCCCAAAGACUUGGGUUCAAAUGUCAGCCCCUUCACUCGCUGGCUGUAGGUGUGAGGCCCUGGGUAAGGUCCUUACCUCCCCAAGUGUCUGAGCCUGUUCCCGUAUAAUGUUCACUUGCCUUGAAUAUCAUGAAAUGUACAUUAGACUUUGUAAGUAAACACCUAGCUGAGUAUCUGGAGCAUAGUAAGUGCUUAUCACACAUUCCAUGGAGU